GCGCUGAUGAGGAGUCCCAUAAUAGGACGAAACAGCCGUCUAGCGC
rfam:Schistosoma rodhaini strain Burundi genome assembly, scaffold: SROB_scaffold0000055